AAACAAUGUAUGGACAAUUUUCUACGCUGUGGGAUGGAGGGGGGAUGGCAAGAAUCCCUAAAAACUGUCUACGUAGUUAAUGAACAGCCCCUUAUAAGAAAUGCGGAAAAGUUAUUUAUGCCAAACAUCCCCCUCCCCCUCCCCUACAACGACAAUACGGACUUGGACUAUCACUGUUUUCUAGGAAAUAAUCGUUAAGCAAACUACAAUCAAUCAUAUCGUCCGGCCAUUUUUCACAGAGAUGGCGCUGUUCCGCUGGUAGGAAGUGAUGAAAAUCCCCAUAUAGAAAUUGAGAGAAAUUGGAAUAAUUCGCUUUCGGUGCAUAUUCAGGUCAAAAAAGUGAACGACAACCUAAAGAAAUUAGUCAGGGACUUUGUCGUUCAGUUUUCCCCUGAAAUUAUCGUUAAACAAGCUACAAUUAAAUAAAUUUCCCCGUGUAGUUUUACCUGUUUUACUACCGGUCCCCAGAGAGCCAAAAAAUUCAAAUAUGAGAGAGAAAAUUUGUUCUCACUAGCAGGGCUGGUAGCGAGCCACUUUUUAGUGACUUGAUCACUUUUUUCAAGCCAGUCACUAAAAAGUAUCUUUUUUAAGGCCAAGUCACUAAAAGUUUUUUUUUACUUUUAAUCGUUCUUCUCUAUCUACAGGGUGUCCACUCAUUUGGCUAAAUAAAGUUCCCUGAGUUUUCCGGAUUUUUCCAUAACUUUGGCGGAUAUUUUCCAGGUUUAUAAUAAUAAUCCUAUUUACGAAAUGCGUUAAAAAAUAUGUUUUAAACUCAAACGUUUUUAACAUGACAAUCAGUUUUAAUGAAACAGCUUUAGCUCAAAUCCAUUAAAUGUUGAAGUUGAACACUUACUUCAUUUUAGUAAAUCGAAGAUCACAACAUUUUUAAUGUCUUCACGUUUCGUACUAUCAAAAAUGUGGAAACUUUAAUGAAGUUCUAUUGACCUCAGAAAAGCUAGAUCUAGAGAUCUUUGGGAAAUUCCAGCGAUCUUAAGAGGAAGUGGUUUAAAAAUCUAUAAUCGUAAGCUUAGACAAAUUCAGGAUAGUUCCAUGAGGUGCUGAAAUAAAAUCGGAAACCCUUAAGAUGUUCCGAGAGAUUCAGUAUAGAGCCCUCCAGAAAAUUUAUGAAAACUUCAGAAAUAUUUCAGGAACUUCACGGAAAUCCAGAAAAUUCCAAUGGAUGUUUAAAGGUGUUUACGAGAAUUCCAUUUAUUUUAAAGCAGAGCUGAGAUCUUCAUUAGAGUUGAGAGUUUUAGGGAAGCUCCGCGAACAUGAAGACAGAUCAGAGAAUUAAAAGGUAGUUAAAAAAUCAAGUAAAUUGCAGAAACCGGAAUUUCCGGAAACUUCGGAUUCCUCAGACAAAAUUUCUGGAAGGCAAUAAAAAGUAUGUGAAUAUCCGGAAAAUGUGAGAGUAUUUCAAUAUCACGGAAAUUUUAAGAUCUAUAGAAAAUUCGAAAAUUUAAGUAAGUUGAUUAGAGAACAUCAACGAAGUUCCAUUAUUAAAAACUUUUAGCAAGCACCGAUAUUUUCAAGAGAUUUAGAUAAUAGACAGAGAAAAUUAGUGAUUUAAGGCAAAGUUCCGUGAGCGUAACUUUAUAAAACUUAAGGAAAAUUGUAGAACUGCCUUUAAGUUAAAAUUAAGUUAAGUCAAAUCAAUUCCAGUAAAAUGGUGGGUUCCGAGCAAAGGAUUAUACCAAAUUGAUAACAAGGUCUGAUACCCGGUUAUCAAGAUUUAAUAACUGAACAUGUUAUCUUUGUGGUUGAACAAACUGCCAACAUAACAAAAAUCAUAACGAAAGAAUAUUUCUGGGUUAUCACAAAAAUAACUGAUUAAGUUAUCAUUGAAAACAUCUUGAUAACAAAUCCUGUGAUCCAUGCCAAUUUUUUCAACAAACUUCCAAAUUAUUUCAUCGAUUUGGUAUUAAGGCCUUACGCUGAUAACUGAAAUAUGAUUGGCAGUGUUUUUUAGUCUCACAAUGUGGAUAGUAUUUGAAGUUUUGAACUAACUUUUCAUCAUUUCAUAUUCAUUCAUGAUACCAACUAAUAACAAAAUUAGUCGAGGUUGGUAACUAAAUUAGUUAUGCGAUAACAUCUGAAAUCAGAAGGAUAUCUAGAAUAGCAGGACUUUUUUUCAAGUUGAUAUCAGGUUGUUAUUUUACUUUGCUGGGGAGGGCAGUCAAGAGAAUUUCAAGGAAAUUGAGAAAUAUUUUAGGCAGUUUUAAAAACAUCAAAAAACUCUAGACUAUUGAAGAAGUAGUUAAUUAGUUUCGAUAAUUUAAACUUCUUCAGGGGGCGAUCCUGGCGUAGUGGUUAACAUCCUUACCUCUCACGCCAAAGUCACGAGUUCAAAUCUCACCCCGGACAAGUCACGAAUAACCCAAGAGUGUUAAAGUGACUAUAAAAAAAAUUAAAACUUCAUGCAAUUCUUGAACUUUAGUGAAAAUCAUAGAACUAUAUUAAUUAUUUCGACGAGGAGUGGAAGCCUAAAGAAGUUCCUGAAAUUACAGUAUAACUUCGAAAUUUUCUUCAGAAAAAUUUCGAGAACUUCAUAAAAGUCAAUUUUGAACUUAAGGGAAGAUCCGAGAACUUCAGGAACUUUAAUGGACAUUUCGGGAGCAUCUCAAAAAAGUUUAGUUAAAGCUUCAAAAACAAAGGGAAUUUUAGGAAAGUUCAGUUCAAUUAGUUUCACUAAAUAAGCGGAAAAUUUCAAGAAGUUCCCCGAUUUUCUGAGAACUUUAGAGAUGUUAAAAAAUUUAUUGAGGUUUCCACAAAAGUCCAAAAGGUUACGCAAGCUUAAAAUUUUUUAUAACAGUUCAAUUGAAUUCAUGGUAGUACAACAAGCAAACACUUCGAGAAAGAUAUUAAUCUCGCUAAUAAAGCUCUAAACAAAAAAAAAAA